AUCAAGGGAGUAGCAGACGGUUAGCCGUGAUUGUGUCGUCAAUACGGAAUUUCGAUUUCCGGUACAAUCUGAAACAGCGAGACUUGUUUAAUAAUAAUAAACAGGUCUUUUUAU
rnacentral:ncRNA from 1 species